AUUGAACGCUGGCGGCAUGCCUUACACAUGCAAGUCGAACGGUAACAGGCCGCAAGGUGCUGACGAGUGGCGAACGGGUGAGUAAUGCAUCGGAACGUGCCCAGUCGUGGGGGAUAACUGCUCGAAAGAGCAGCUAAUACCGCAUACGACCUGAGGGUGAAAGCGGGGGACCGCAACGCCUCGCGCGAUUGGAGCGGCCCAUGUCAGAUUAGCUAGUUGGUGGGGUAAAGGCCUACCAAGGCAACGAUCUGUAGUUGGUCUGGGAGGACGACCAGCCACACUGGGACUGAGAAACGGCCCAGACUCCUACGGGAGGCAGCAGUGGGGAAUUUUGGACAAUGGGCGCAAGCCUGAUCCAGCACUGCCGCGUGCAGGAAGAAGGCCUUCGGGUUGUAAACUGCUUUUGUCAGGGAAGAAAUCUUCUGGGCUAAUACCCCGGGAGGAUGACGGUACAUGAAGAAUAAGCACCGGCUAACUACGUGCCAGCAGCCGCCGUAACAC
rnacentral:rRNA from 1 species